AUGGCAGAUCUGAGCCAACUAUCUUCUUUUCUCUCAGUUUCCUCCUCUUAUUCCAGUUUCCCUCCUUUCCUUUCACUUUUCAGAGAUAUUUGUUGAUAUGUGGACAUCAUGGAUUAUGCCGAUAGGAGCUUCUUGGGAUACUGAGGCUGCCAACAAUCUCCAGUUGCCUCCCAGGCUCGAACCCGGACAUGAGAGCCACAGGCCGGCUCCAACAUUGAAGAAAGUCAAUGAAGAAGAUAUCAGAAGAUUGAAAGAUGUUCCAGGCUUGUGGAAUGGUAGGAUUAACAUAGUAAAAUGACAUUCCUAUCAAAGUAAUGUAAAGAUUCAAAGCAAUCCCAUCAAAAUUCCAACAUUAUUCUACAAAGAACUUGAAUGGAAAAUUUUCAGCUUUAUAUGGGAACACAAAAAACUCAGAAUAGCUAAAACAAUCCUGAAUAAUAAAAGAAUGGUUAGUAGUAUCACUGUUCUGAUCUCAAGUUGAAUUCAAGCACCAUGGUAAUAAGAACAGCAUGAUAUUGAAUUAAAAACAGCUAUGUUGAUCAAUAGAAUUGAAUAGAAGAUGAAGAUAUAAGUCCCUACACUAGUGGACACCUGAUUUUUUUCCCCCUCAGGGAGUGUGUCAGAGUUGUAGAGACAGGCCCCAGGGCAGAUGGAAAUGGCUUGCCUGGAUUUCCUCUGCGCUAGUAUAGCACUGUCUGUCCCCAGACCGGCACCAAGCAGCAGGCCUGGGAAAGAUUUAGUGCUGGACACCUAAUUUUUGACAAAGAAACAAAACAAUACAUUUUGAAAAAAGAUACAAUCAUCAAUAAGUGAUGCUGAUCAAACUACAUAGCUGCACAUACAAGAAUAAGAAUAGAUUCAUGUCUAUCAGCCUGUAUAAAAUGCAACUCCAAAGAUAUCAAGGACAGCAACAUAAAACUAGACAUCCUGAAUCUGGAAAGGAUUUUCUGAGCAGGAUCUCAAUAGUUUUGGCAUUAAGACCAAAAACCAACAAAUGGUUCUAAUGACGUUAAAAGUUUCUAUUACAGCCCAGGACCCCUUCAUUUGAGCAAAGAGGCAUCAUACAGAGCAGGAAAAAUGCUUUACAUGUGACUAUACAAAGAACUAAAAAAAAAAAAAAAAAAAAAAAAAG